UCCGAGAUGGUGCGAUUGAUGCAACAGUGGAUCAUGCAAAUGGCUGGAUGGUGUCAAAGGAGACAGGAGACAUCUACUCUACAAACGAACCUCAGCUUGCAUUCAAUUCAAGGAUUGCUUUCUGCCUCAAUAUGCAUAACGAGGCAGUUCGUGCACUUCGUUUUCCCCCAAAUUCCCACAAGGAAAAGGAAAGUGCCGAGAAGAGGAGGGAGAGACAGCAGCAGGAACAAGAGCUUGCAAAACACAUUGCUGAGGAGGAUGACGAUGAGUUUUAAAUUAGUUAUCUGCAAGCACAUCUUUUUUUCCCUACAGAAUGCUUUCAUCUAGUUCCGCACCUUCCUCUGAAAUACUUCUGUUAAAGCAUUCUGAUUUUCGU
rnacentral:lncRNA from 1 species